rnacentral:misc_RNA from 1 species
GUUUUAGUGCGUGCGACUGGCCGCCAUGUUUGUGAGGGCGGGAAUCUGCGGCGCUGUGUAAACACUACGGGAGGAGGGGGGUAUUUGAGACUGAUUUUGUGGUAUUUUUCGAUCGAAAAGUGCUAAUCUUUUUUGCUCACGGCAUUCUUUGGAAUGUGUAGAUUGUGGAACAAGUGCUGAAAUAUGCUUAUCAAUUGUAAUUUGGCUACGUUAGCCUUAGACAUGUUGCACUGUCGACGCUGAUGAAGAAUAGGCGGCACCAAAGGUGGCUGGAACAACCCCAGUGCCGCACAGUUCUGCGGGAUAUUCCGGCACCUGCUCCACCGCUGCGGCGUCCGGCCCGGCAGCACAGGGAAAGUGGCAGCCCUCGACCCGACCAGCAUCCUGGCAGUCGGUCACACGACCAGCGGACGAGGAGCCAGCCUUACUACCUCGGCCUCCACCACCUCAGACAACGGUGCCACGGCACUCCACAUCAUCACGGAGCACGACUUCCAGCCUGGGCUGUCGUCUGGUGGGCAACAUCGUCACCUACAUCGCAGGGUUCGUGGUGAAGAAGGCGCUCGACUCUGUCAGCUGUAGCACCUGUCAGGAGGCCCUGGUGAGCGACAUCCAGCCGGACGACAUGACACAGCUUUACCACCUCUUCAUCAUCUCUGCCAGAUGAGCUAAGGUGGGGACGGGUUACAUGCCUGGGAUCUGACUGAGACCCGCUCAUACCCUGCCGAAGUGUUGGUGAUUUCAGCGGUCAGCUGUCUCUAGCCGGUGUCAGUGAGUCGCGGCCAGCUGCCGCUGGAGUGGGUAUCUACCGUCGAUAGCUGCUGUGUGGCGGAUAGCGUGGAUUUGGAUGGACACUUCAUAUUAAUGAACAGAUCAAUGUCUGGCCGAUAAAAGACGUAUUUUGUCGAUGAUUGCUUAGUGACUGAGUGGGUCCACUGGCGACCAAUGCAGUGGGCGCUGGGUUAACGCCUCGCCUCUUGUGACCGUGUCGAUAUGUAGCACUGUUAAUUGCCGAUUCGUUGCCGGCCGUCUCUGCUCCGUGGCUGGCUGAUCCGGCACAAACUGGUGUUCGUGGCUGUAGGCGCGGCUACAGUUACACUAGCUCGCCACGUGCCUGUGCGACUAUCGUCGGUGCUGUCUGCAAGGGCGAUGUCGGUGCCUGUAGGGGGCGCGGAUUGAUUCAAAGUGAGGAAUGGGUCAUCGGAGCUCGGGUCAGGUCAUGUUCGGCUAAAAUAAGCGGAUUUUGCGAUUUGCCGCAUCCGGGUGAAUUUCCUUGCCUUCUAGUGCAUGUUUAUGCAUUUUACAUGCGUUUUUUUUUAGUGUUGAUGUCUAGAUAACGUGCAUUUGCCUCGAGGUCAAGGCUGCGCUUCAUAUGGGCAGUUUUCGGAGCAUCUUGCUCAUUUUAUUCGUAAUCCUUAAUUAUGUUUGCGGAUUUGUGCCCGCAAAUCAUUUUUUAAAGUAAGAUUGACACGGGAUUCGAGAUCGGCGCCCAUAAAUACACUUCACAUGACC